rnacentral:lncRNA from 1 species
CAAAGUUUCCUAGUCUUCCAUUGGAAACUCCAAGUCAAGAAGUCUAGGUUUUAGCUAUCUUACUGCCUUGAUGAGUGGGGCCUAAUUUUAAUAUUUAUUUUAAGUUUUUCUCUUAACAGAGUUGGAGGACGGCAGCCCCUGAGUUUGGAAGUUGUCAAGGUAAAAUUUUAACGUUAUAGAAGUAUAUUGAGUAGUCUGAACUUGUAUUAGGUUAUCCUAAUUUCUUCUCAAUAGGAUAGGUAUAAGGGCUACGUGUUUCCUUUGUAGAUGAAAAAGAGAGACGUGAAGUCAGAGAUAUUAUAAUAUGGUUCUCGAAUAUCUUUCUUCUAUUAUUCUGUCUAAUUCAAAUUUGUAUUCCA